CAACCUACCUAUCAGAGGGGAAUAACCCGGCGAAAGUCGGACUAAUACCGCAUAAAACAGGGGCACCGCAUGGUGAUAUUUGUUAAAGAAAUUCGCUGAUAGAUGGGCAUGCGUUCCAUUAGGUAGUUGGUGAGGUAACGGCUCACCAAGCCGACGAUGGAUAGGGGAACUGAGAGGUUGGUCCCCCACACUGGUACUGAGACACGGACCAGACUCCUACGGGAGGCAGCAGUGAGGAAUAUUGGUCAAUGGGCGGGAGCCUGAACCAGCCAAGUCGCGUGAAGGAAGAAGGAUCUAUGGUUCGUAAACUUCUUUUGCAGGGGAAUAAAGUGCAGGACGUGUCCUGUUUUGUAUGUACCCUGAGAAUAAGGAUCGGCUAACUCCGUGCCAGCAGCCGCGGUAAUACGGAGGAUCCGAGCGUUAUCCGGAUUUAUUGGGUUUAAAGGGUGCGUAGGUGGUUUGAUAAGUCAGCGGUGAAAGUUUGCAGCUUAACUGUAAAAAUGCCGUUGAAACUGUCGGACUUGUGUGUAAAUGAGGUAGGCGGAAUGCGUGUGUAGCGGUGAAAUGCAUAGAUAUCACGAAGAACUCCGAUUG
rnacentral:rRNA from 1 species